CACACAGAGAGCACUCUCUCUCUCCAUAUGAAGGUAAAUGAUCCUGCUCUCUUACAGAAGUCCAGUGGAGCAGACCUGCUUUGCCUAACCUCUGGGGUCAUAUAGAGGGGGUCUGAGCCUGGUGCAUACAACUACUGUGCCCCACAGUUUAUCUCCACUGAACCUAUUGAAUAUCACAGAGGGGGGAAACAUCCCUCUGUUUACUGCUGCACCUAGAGGUAAAAGCAGCAACUUGGGGGAGAAGGUGUGAGUUUUGGGUUCAGGCGCAGGUCAGAGUUAAAGAAAGAGGUCGAGGUUAAAGGUCUGUGUGUUUAACUGCUUCUACCCUCCACACUGAGUGUCUUCACUCACAUGUAUUUACAUUAAACUGCACCUGACAAGCUCGUAAAUGUACCCAUAAUGCAAAUCUGCACGUUCUGCAUGAACAAAUGAUGUAUUGCUGUAGUGUAUGAGGCGUAAUUGUUUUUAGUGAGUUGUAAUGGGUUUUUGUUUGACUUUUGUACUGUAAAUGUGUAUUAUUUAUUUGUCCUGCUGCAUACA